rnacentral:rRNA from 1 species
GAUGAACGCUGGCGGCGUGCCUAAUACAUGCAAGUCGAGCGAACAGACGAGGAGCUUGCUCCUCUGACGUUAGCGGCGGACGGGUGAGUAACACGUGGAUAACCUACCUAUAAGACUGGGAUAACUUCGGGAAACCGGAGCUAAUACCGGAUAAUAUAUUGAACCGCAUGGUUCAAUAGUGAAAGACGGUUUUGCUGUCACUUAUAGAUGGAUCCGCGCCGCAUUAGCUAGUUGGUAAGGUAACGGCUUACCAAGGCGACGAUGCGUAACCGACCUGAGAGGGGGAUCGGCCACACUGGAACUGAGACACGGUCCAGACUCCUACGGGAGGCAGCAGUAGGGAAUCUUCCGCAAUGGGCGAAAGCCUGACGGAGCAACGCCGCGUGAGUGAUGAAGGUCUUCGGAUCGUAAAACUCUGUUAUUAGGGAAGAACAAAUGUGUAAGUAACUAUGCACGUCUUGACGGUACCUAAUCAGAAAGCCACGGCUAACUACGUG